AGAAUGCUAAGCGAUGCAAAUAAUAUGCUGCUAUUAAUAUGCCUAAAGUUCUACAGUUUUAAAUCUCCUCCUUCCCUCCCCCCCCCUCAUAACUUCCUUCUCUGAGGAGCUUCCAAACAGAGUGUUUACACAAAAGGCAACAGAGUAGGGGGUCAGGUGGGGAGUCUAUGACCCUCCAGACAUUUGGACUUCACCCGUUACUUACCUACUGCUAUGCUGGAUGGGACUGAUGGGAACCAAGGGCCAAAGGUCCCCUAUCACUGCAACAGGAGGCAAAGUGAAAGAAGAUGCAGAAAAUAUAAUUGAAGGAAGAUGGAGAAAAUAUUAAGAGGGGUUCAGUAGACCUAUGUUAUUAGGGUUAGCUGCAAUAGGAAGAUGAGGACUUAUAACAGCAGUAGGUUUGGUGGAGUAAAAGUGGUGUCUGCAAGGUGUCUCCUCCUGAUCCAGUGGGACAGCCCUGCAGAUGUGCCUGUCAUUCUGCAGGAUUUCACCACAGGGUAUCAUGUCAUCUUAACCAGAGCCAUACACAGUGGCCUCCAAGUAAUCAGGCCUUAGCUAGCAAUGACUGGAAGCUAUAUCCACACUGCGUUAAGCAGAUCUCUCCAGCUCACUUCGAAGGAAUCCCAAGCACUGCAUGUUCUGGAAGAUGCAUUCAUUCUCACCCUUGGAAGCUCUCCAUUAAGGCAGAUGUGAACAGCACACAGCCUGUUUUUAGUGCACUUUCUAGAGACUCAGCACAAGAGGCAGUUGAUUUUGCUGAGCAUGAGUUUACAACCAGGAACUGCAGUGUUGGUUCCCUUGAUACAAGGUGCCUGGAUCCCACAUGCCAAUGUGAAUGUUGUGUUCCUUCUGCGCCAAAGCAUUAUGCCAUUUACUCAUCACCAGUUUCCUUGAGCAAUCUUCAAAAUGAACGUGGCCACAGAUUCUCAAAUAAUGUACCACCAGUUCUUGUUGCUGUGUAUCCUGAUGAGCUAGGUUCUCCUCUUCAUGUGGAACAACUGGCCCAAAUUGACCGGACUCCCACACCUUCUAUUCCAGAUAGUUACUUGGUCUUUUCCAGAUAUUAAAACAUGGUGAGACCAUGAAGCAUCAUGAAUUAAGGACUGCUUUCUCUAAUACCACGUUAUACCGCUCUUAUUCCACCAUGUAAGCUUGGCUUUCUUUACAUUAUUUCUUUGGCAUGACAGUUUUGCGUGCUUGAGCAACAUCAUUGCAGAAAUGGAUUAAUUGCGGCUUGGAGAAUUACUAUUGCAGAUUUUGCCUUCUGUUGCAAUAAAGGUGAGGAGUAUGCAAAAGUGAUCUUUUGC
rnacentral:lncRNA from 1 species